GGUCGCCGUGUUUGAGGCUUGUCAAAUGGUGUGAAGCUUGGCCUCUCUCCCGUACCUUUUCCCCCCACCUCCCGCGCUCGCUGGUCGCCGCCCGUAUCUGCGGGAUGUGGAGGCCUCGCCACCUGUGCGGCCCAGGGCCAGAAAGCCACGACGGUCGCAUGCGCGAAGAGAGAGGCCGGAGCCCGCCGCGGCCCGCGCCGUCCUGCGCUGGGGUCUGAUCGCUGUCCCCAAUGAAGAGUCCAUGAAGACUGGCGAAUAAGGACUUCAGGAGACCCGACACUGAUAGAAUGCAACAGGACCUGGUUGCCCUCAGGCUUUCUGGCAGUGUCUGAUACUUACUGAGCAGACCAUCUUGUUGUCUCUGGAGCUGUAUUUUAGCCUCAGAUCUAUGUAACCAGUAAAGCAGUCACAUCUGAUACUGGUCUGCAGAGUCGGGAGCAGAGGAAGCAGACAAGGAAAACACAAGUGGAAGAAUGAAGCUCUCCAAACAACCUUUUGCUAAAGCUGUUUCUGGUGUACACCUGUAAAUAUAGGUGAUCAAUAAAAGCCUUUGGAAGUGUUAGAUCUUGCCUCUCAAAUUGUUGGCUA